AUCAAAAAGAGCCCGUGUGUAUUCACGCAUUUAUACAUACGCAGAUACCCCCGGGUACCUGUAUAUAUCGAUCCAUGUAACACCAGCUUCCGACACGCAAACGCCGCCAUCUUCGCCGGAGAUAAAAAUAAUUGUUGGAACUCGAAAGGUCUGGUCCGUUAUUUUGCAUUAUGCAUACUUAUUCAGUCAUUCUGCUCUCAACAGACUCAAACCCCUCGGAUUCCCAAAAUGCUCACUAAUCAAAGAAAACUGUGAAGAUCGCUGACAACUUGAGCAGCUUAAAGCCUUAAGCAAUCUGGAAAAAAGCCAAACAUCCAUAUACAAUACCAAAGUACACAAUUCCCUAACUUUACUUUACUGAUUACUUAAUAGUUAAUAUACUUGCAAAAGUGUGUAAUAAUAAAAAAAAAGCCUUGCUAUAUUGUCUUAUAAGUUGGUAUGUUGUCAUUGAAUGUUAUUUAGAAGCAACGGAUAAGAACUUAGUGUCCCAUGACAUGACUUAUUAGUGAGCUAUUGUAGUUUUAAACUUCUCCAUGUUAGGACAUUGUAGUUUUUAUAUUUUUUCCUAUUGCGCUUUAAAAAUCUAACCAAUUAUAGCAUUGUAUUCUUAAAACUUAUCCUAUAAUGACAAUGUACUUUUUGUUACA